ACCACCGGCGGACGGCUCAGUAACACGUCGGUAACCUACCCUCGGGAGGGGGAUAACCCCGGGAAACUGGGGCUAAUCCCCCAUAGGCCUGAGGUACUGGAAGGUCCUCAGGCCGAAAGGGGCUUUUGCCCGCCCGAGGAUGGGCCGGCGGCCGAUUAGGUAGUUGGUGGGGUAACGGCCCACCAAGCCGAAGAUCGGUACGGGCUGUGAGAGCAGGAGCCCGGAGAUGGACACUGAGACACGGGUCCAGGCCCUGCGGGGCGCAGCAGGCGCGAAACCUCCGCAAUGCGGGAAACCGCGACGGGGGGACCCCGAGUGCCGUGGCACCGCCACGGCUUUUCCGGAGUGUAAAAAGCUCCGGGAAUAAGGGCCGGGCAAGGCCGGUGGCAGCCGCCGCGGUAAUACCGGCGGCCCGAGUGGUGGCCGCUAUUAUUGGGCCUAAAGCGUCCGUAGCCGGGCCCGUAAGUCCCUGGCGAAAUCCCACGGCUCAACCGUGGGGCUUGCUGGGGAUACUGCGGGCCUUGGGACCGGGAGAGGCGGGGGGUACCCCUGGGGUAGGGGUGAAAUCCUAUAAUCCCAGGGGGACCGCCAGUGGCGAAG
rnacentral:rRNA from 1 species